UACAGAGGGGGCGAGCGUUGUUCGGAAUUACUGGGCGUAAAGGGCGCGUAGGCGGCCCGCUAAGUCGAACGUGAAAUCCCCAGGCUCAACCUGGGAACUGCGUCCGAUACUGGCAGGCUUGAAUCCGGGAGAGGGAUGUGGAAUUCCAGGUGUAGCGGUGAAAUGCGCAGAUAUCGGGAGGAACACCAGUAGCGAAGGCGACACUCUGGGCCGGUACUGACGCUGAGGAGCGAAAGCGUGGGGAGCAAACAGG
rnacentral:rRNA from 1 species